GACGAACGCUGGCGGCGUGCUUAACACAUGCAAGUCGAACGGAAAGGCCCUGCUUUUGUGGGGUGCUCGAGUGGCGAACGGGUGAGUAACACGUGAGUAACCUGCCCUUGACUUUGGGAUAACUUCAGGAAACUGGGGCUAAUACCGGAUAGGAGCUCCUGCUGCAUGGUGGGGGUUGGAAAGUUUCGGCGGUUGGGGAUGGACUCGCGGCUUAUCAGCUUGUUGGUGGGGUAGUGGCUUGCCAAGGCUUUGACGGGUAGCCGGCCUGAGAGGGUGACCGGCCACAUUGGGACUGAGAUACGGCCCAGACUCCUACGGGAGGCAGCAGUGGGGAAUAUUGCACAAUGGGCGGAAGCCUGAUGCAGCAACGCCGCGUGCGGGAUGACGGCCUUCGGGUUGUAAACCGCUUUCGCCUGUGACGAAGCGUGAGUGACGGUAAUGGGUAAAGAAGCACCGGCUAACUACGUA
rnacentral:rRNA from 1 species